AUUUGUAUAGCUUAAUAAGAGCAUGGUGUUGAAGGUACUAGGGUAAAAUAUUUUUGCAAAUA
rnacentral:tRNA from 1 species